UCCCUGGACACGGCGUUCCCUUUUGUCAUCGACGCCUCUCCCCGGUGGCCCUUUUAAAGACUGCACAGUAUUUCCCUUGGCCGAGUGGCAGUCCCUGAGUCCCUGGGGUCCCCAUCACAGGGACGAGGGUUCGUCCACGAGGUCAUACCAAUCCGUACAAAGAGGGACCUCUCCAUGAGCUAAAUGCUCCAGCCCAGCAUCAGAUGUCCCAGACCGGAAGAUGGCUGGUGAUUGGUCCCUUGUCCUCCUGGGACUCAGUCCUUAUCUGAUGAGGAGUCUGGGGCCUGCAUGCCCGUCUUACAGAAGCAGUGUUUUGUACUCGGGAGCUCCUGUCACACACACAUCCCUGUUUAUAGCACCCGGAUGGCCCGUGCUUUCCUCCGUGUCACUGAUGGCCUCAGCUAUGU